AUGGAUCCCUGUGGAAUGACAGUUGUCAUUGCAGGCAGGCUCGGUUUGCCGGUUGCUGCUGAGUGCUGCCUUUCGUGCUUACGGACUGUCAGAAAAGGAAACAGGGAAACAGCCUCCAGACAACAGCUACUCAAUUCUCAGUUCGCAGGAAUUGUAAAUCACUCGUGGAGAUUCUCUCAGCACAUCUGGAAUCACACGACAGCUGUCUGAACUGCUCAUGGAUAAUGCUAAUCCAGAACCACAGGUGCUGCAAUGGAGGGCGUCAUGGGUGUGCCUUUGAGACCAACUAUCUGGUUAUUCGUCCUUCUCUCCUUGGUAGCCAGUUCUCUGCACACAGCUGCAUCACUGACGAAGGCUGGCAUGGCUCUGAUUUGCUUCAGGAUUUCUGACCUUUCUUAGGUGAGUUCCUCCAAGCUCUGUUCUAAUAAUAGAUGUGCAAUAACUUUGAAAAGUAGGUAACCCUGUAACCAGGCUUGAAUACCAGGGAGCAGAGAAAUCCCUGUUGAAGAUUCAGUGGGAGAACACUUAGAAUUAUCAAGAAAGUUCAGGGAAAUGGCUGGCCAUGAGAGAAUUUCGCAGGAAUGUGCAGUUGCCUGGAGACCAGCAAUACCAGUUAAGCUGAUGUUUCCCACACUUUGGGCAUUAAAAUACCACCUUCAUCAUUUUUCCUAUAUCCAAGUACCACUUCUGCUAUUAUUCACUUAUUUAUCUUUCCAUAGAUUUAUAUUUAUUUAAAUUAAAUGUAUUAAACUAUUAUCCAGAUUGUAGCCAGUGAUAUUUUUAAAUGUCAGUCAGAUCACAUCACCCAUCUGCUCAGAAUCUUCCAGUAGCUUCCAUCUGAAUUAGGAUAGAAAUCGUCUAGAAGGACUGUGCGAUUGCACCCUCUAAGCAUCCUCCUCCCCUCAUCUCCUGCACGCGCCAUCGCCAUCACUGAGCUUCACCCACAAUGGCCUCCUUGCUGUUUCCCCGGCCUGUUAAGCUCCUUCUCAUCCCAGUCACUCUGCCUUGAAGGCUCCUUCUCUAGAUAUCUCCUUGUCUCACAGCCUUCGUACUUCCAGGUCUCAAAUAUCUCUUGCUCACAGGUUGAUCUUACCAACCUGCCCCAAAAUGGCGCCUGCUCGUCACUGCGUGCCCUUCACCUGGCUUUACUUUCCUUCUUAGCAUUCAUCACCACCUCAAACAUUAUACAAUGAUUAAUUUCUUUAGUGAUUAUCCAUCUCCCGUGACUAGAAUGUGAGCUCCAAGAGUUUAGGGGCUCACUUUUUAGUUCACUGUUGUAGUCCCGGAAUCUGGAUAGUGCCUGGCACACAGCAGGUGCUUAAUGGAAAUUGUUGACCAGAUGGACAGAAGGACAAAGGAACAGAUUUGAUUGCCUAGGAAUAGACCCUAUUGUGUAAUCAGGGAGUCUUCACCAAUAAAUGGGAUGAAGGGCUUAGUCA
rnacentral:lncRNA from 1 species